rnacentral:misc_RNA from 1 species
AGAGCAAGGUUUGAUAGCAUUGCAGAGGAGAUUUAUGGCGUCACUGGGUAGAAAAACAUGCAGACUCUUUGGUUGUUGUCACAUUAAGAAAAGAGAGACAAAAUUCUCACAGGAUUUGAUAUGGAGCCUUUCUUCACGUAAAAGAUAUUUUCAUGAGACCACAGGAGAAGUAAAGGACAAAUCAAGAACGCAAAGACAGGACAAUGUGUUACUGGAUCUGAUAAAGUACAAUAAUGAUCUUGUCAGCAGUAGUGAUCCAUUCUACAUGAUGAAUCAUCUCUUGAAGAACAAAUUGUUUGAGAAUGAACACAUUGUUGCCUUCAACAAGCCAGCAGGAUUUCCAAUGACUUAUAAUCCCCCAAAGAAUAUAAGGAAUUGUGACUUGGUUGACCGUGUUGUAAACUUGGAUGGACUUUUACCAGAGUUAGCCGAGCGCUUGCUCUGUACCAAGCUCUAUGUGGCUCUACCAAUAGACAGAAUGUGCAGUGGUGUCCUGAUUUUAACCAAGUCCGAGGAUUAUAAAGAGUUCCUCCAGAAGAGGUUCAACAGUCUUAAAACCACCAACCAGUACCUUUACCAGCACUGGGAUGCUUUGUGUGUCGGUGUCCCUGACAAACUGCCAGCAGAGAAAGUGAAGCUAUACUACAAUAAGGAAAAGUUCCGGGAUAUAUACCUUCCACAAACAGUUUUCUGUACUCCCAGUAUGAAUACAAGAAAAAGGGGAAAUGUGAUGUACACAUCGUUAUCAGGGGAGAUAAUCACAAAAAAUGAAGAGCGAGGAGCCAGGAGUAGCCAUGUUAGGGUCUCUGUAACCUCAGAUGGAAGUGCAGCUCUUUAGUGCUUCUUCAGAACAGUUUCCAGUGAGCUACAAUUCGGCAGUUGAACAUGUAUAGAAUUUCAUUUCACCUUGGAUUAUAGUUGUUAAAUGGAUACUUUCAGCAUCCAAUCAUGUGAUUCCUGCAUUCCUGAGCGAGAGUUUCGCCCCGAUUCUGGGGGACCAGGAGUACUUCUGGAGAGCGGUGUCAGUCAUGGGAGUCAAAAUGUCAAUACUCAAACAGAUCCCCUCCUCAGGAAUACCCAGGCCACAGGAACUUUCAAAAGGAAUUCUACACAACCUUGGAAUCAAGCAAGGACAUGUGAAGAAUUUGCCAGUGUUUCUCCACAGAUCUGCAGUUAAUAUUGUGUUUCCGAAAAACGAUCAGCAAGAAAAUUUCCAGAUAAAGGCCCCACUACCCGACACUUUCCUCCUGGCGAAAUAUAAACUUCUAAAAGACAAUCAGUCAGAGGCGGAGUGUAUGGAACGGUUCGCUGGUGGCCAUAGACUUAAAUACAAUCCUUCAGAGGAAGGAGGAACCACAGAUGGAGAAUUAGGAUUCAAGGAGUGGGAGAAAAAUAUCAUAACCGAUACAUCAACAAAAGACUCUUGAUAAAAUAAAGUUGAUAUUGUUAUUUUGUUCAGUAUUAUGGUUUGAUUUUUGGGAGAUGAUUUUUAAAAUCAAUUUUUUGU